GAGAAUUCACUGAUUCACUGAUGCGGCCAGUAAGUCAUCUGGGCCAAAGGUGGGUGGGGAGAUGAUAGGGGUGCAAGUGUCACCUUCAAUCACAGCAUAACUGCCCUUGCUUUCUUACCUCUCAUUUAGAUACUUCAGUGCUUGCUCAGGUCCCCUGUACCCUCCUUCAUUCUUCCUUCCCAGCCAUACUACUUAUGGGGAGACUUUCUCUUUAUAAAAUGACUGUUAGUCUUGUCAAAUUAAUCCCAAAGUAGUACCAUCAAUUUCCCCCUAAAAUACCAACAAGACUCCUGCUUGAAACUACUUGUCCAUUAGGGACAGAGAAGAGUUCAUGAGAAUCAGCAUUUUCUGAGGACUCUAGCUGUCUUCCGAGAGAGAGUUCUCCUGCUGGUGCCUCCUCUGUAAUAAAGCAAAGGCUCCUGGAACCACAUUAUCAUUCUCUUCACUCAAGAGAUGAGGAUGCUGAAAUUCAGAGAGGGGAAGUGAUUUGCCUCAGCUUGUGCUAAAGAAACAUUUCAACAGAGAACCCAGUGGAAAUUAUGACAUGUUAUCUUCUCAGAGUCCUGAACUCCCAUCCCUACCUCAGAAGAGACUCCACUGUUCACAGAAGCUAAAGGCAGUUCCUUCCCAGUGGCAACUAUGUUUGGAUGUUGGAUCUACACUUUUCUCAAGCACUGUGAUCUUCAAAUGGAGAGUGAACCUGAGAGAAGAGAAGCCACCUUUAUAGGCCACACAGCAAGUUGGUGGCAUAGCCAGCCCUCACACUCACAUCUCCUGACAAUAAGUAAGGUAGAGAAGAAAGGAGAAGGAAAGAGAUGAAGGUUGCUUGCUAGAAGAGAAGUCUGGAUUCCCAUUAUGCGUUUUCUGUGGGCCAUUUGGUUGUACAGGAAGUUUGGUGCUGGCAUCUGCUUCUGGUGAAGCCCUCAGAAAGCUUACAGUAAUGGUGGAAAGCUAAGGUGGAGCAGGCACAUCAUAUGGUGAGAGAGAGAACAGGAGAGCGAUGGAGGAGGUCCCAGACUCUUAAGAAAACAGAUCUCAUGUGCACUCAAAGUGAGAACUCACUUAUCACCAAGGUGAUGAUGCUAAGCAGCUAAAGGGGCUGACCAGUCACCUCUCACCAGGUCCCAACUCCAACAUUAGGAAUCACAUUUCAACAUGAGAUUUGGAGAGGACACACAUUGAAACCAUGUCACAUGUGUAUCUUUCCAUCCUUUCCAUGUCAGCACAUUCAGUCUUGCUGACUCCCUUAAAGGCUACCUGGUUGAAAUGUAACUUUAGGAAAACCCUGAGGUUUUGAUAAGUUUUAUGUAGAGGGCACUGAAUUUGAUUUUGAAUGUAUAAAUUCAGUGUUCAUUUGCCGUCUUCAGGUUUCUUUUACUUUUUCUCUAUAUCGAGGGCACUACCCAGUUAUGCAUUCUGACACUUGAAGAAUUCUGGCGGCUUGCAAAUGUUCCAUGGAGAUGAAAAUUAACUUGAUUGGUUUUCCUUCCUGAACACCAUGUGUCCACUCUGGCCUUGGGCGA